rnacentral:misc_RNA from 1 species
AAGAAAGGACUUUAGAGGUUAUAUGCCUGCAGAGUCACUCCUAGUAAUAACAUCAUUAUAUACAAUUAGUAAAAUUAUGGUGGCCCUAAACUGUCUAUAAAAUAUUGAGUUAUCACAUUUACUCUUUUCCAUUCCAAAUUCUUGAAUUGCCUCACUAAAUUUUUGAAACCAAGCACAAGGACUUUGUUUCAAACCAUACAAAGAUUUGCGAAGUCGACAAACUUUCCCAUACUCUCUGGAGCAACAAACCCAAGAGGUUGCUUCAUAUAGACUUCCUUAUGUAAAUCUCCAUGUAGAAAAGCAUUUUUUAUGUCUAACUGGUGUAAAGGCCAGUUAUAAGUAGCUACCAUAGAUAUGAAUAGGCGAAUAGAGGUAGAGCUCUUCCUCAUGCUGUGUAAAUCUCCAUAUUUACUAUUAUGUAACAAUAACAGUCCUUGUACUCACAUUUUUUUGUCUAGAUGGGGGCAGCAGCUCAUCCUCAUGCUUUGUUUCUAGAUUGGGGAAUUUUAAUCUGUUGUCUCACUUUUUCUCUCAAUUUUCGAUCUAAAAUUUUCUAUCUUUCACUUCAUCUCUUGGGCUAAGAUCAUCAACUAUCUUUCUAGUUUUACAUAU